GGGGAAUAUUGGACAAUGGGCGAAAGCCUGAUCCAGCCAUGCCGCGUGUGUGAAGAAGGUCUUCGGAUUGUAAAGCACUUUAAGUUGGGAGGAAGGGCUGCAAGUUAAUACCUUGUAGUUUUGACGUUACCAGCAGAAUAAGCACCGGCUAACUUCGUGCCAGCAGCCGCGGUAAUACGAAGGGUGCAAGCGUUAAUCGGAAUUACUGGGCGUAAAGCGCGCGUAGGUGGUUUGGUAAGAUGGAUGUGAAAUCCCCGGGCUCAACCUGGGAACGCCAUCCUAAACGGCUGGACUGGGUUAGGGUGAGGGGGGUGGGAAUUUCCGGGUAGGCGGUAAAUGGGUUAAUAAAGGAAGGGAACCCCGGUGGCAAAGGCAACACCCGGAACUGUAACUGACACGGGGUUGCGAAGCGUGGGGAGCAAACA
rnacentral:rRNA from 1 species